GAAAUGUUAGGGAAAAACUUAUUCUUUAUAAAAAAAAUUGUUAUAAAAUUAAGGACUUGUAAUUAAUUGCAAGUUUUUAUGUACAUAGAGAGAAUAAAGAAAUAUAACAAAUGUAGUACCUGUAAUUAAAAAAUGAUGAUUUUACCCUAUCCUUAAUGGGUCCAUAAAUAAUCAUUUAUUUUGUUUCCUUAAUUUAGGAUCUCUAACUAUUGCAGUUUGAAACAGAUUUAUUGCUUUUCAGUAUGUUUUUUAGAAAGCAGUAUCAUAUUUGAUACUUU
rnacentral:misc_RNA from 1 species